ensembl:lncRNA
GCAUAAUUGUGGUUGCUGCAUCAGAUGUUGAUGCUGGUGCUAUAGUGGUCAAUGUCAGAGGUGUGGUUGUGGAAGCCAAAACUGUUGUUGCAUCAGUUGUUGUUGUUGUGGUGUCAGACAGAGUUGUUGUUGAUGCAUGAGUUGUUGUUGAAACUGGCGCUACAGUUGAGGAUGUUGUAGGAGUGAAUGUAGAAGCCAAAGUUGUUGUUGCAUCUAUCAUUGUUGUGGUAUCAGGAAUACUUGUGGUUGCUGCAUCAGAUGUUGUUGACGUUGGUUCAACCGUUGAGGAUGUUGAAAAGGUGGUUGUGGAAGCCAAAGAUGUUGUUGAAUCAAUUGUUGUUGUGGUGUCAGACAUAGUUGUUGUUGAUGCAUCAGUUGUUGGUGAUACUGGCGCUACAGUUGAGGAUGUUGUAGGAGUGAUUGUGGAAGCCAAAGUUGUUGUUGCAUCUAUCAUUGUUGUGGUAUCAGGAAUACUUGUUGUUGCUACAUCAGAUGUUGUUGACGUUGGUUCAAACGUUGAGGAUGUUGGAAAGGUGGUUGUGGAAUCCAAAGAUGUUGUUGUAUCAGUUGUUGUUGUGGUGUCAGGCAUAGUUGUGGUUACGGCAUCAGAUGUUGAUGCUGGUGCUAUAGUGGUCGAUAUCAGAGGUGUGGUUGUGGAAGCCAAAAUUGUUGUUGCUACAUCAGAUGUUGUUGACGUUGGUUCAAACGUUGAGGAUGUUGGAAAGGUGGUUGUGGGAUCCAAAGAUGUUGUUGUAUCAGUUGUUGUUGUGGUGUCAGGCAUAGUUGUGGUUACGGCAUCAGAUGUUGAUGCUGGUGCUAUAGUGGUCGAUAUCAGAGGUGUGGUUGUGGAAGCCAAAAUUGUUGUUGCAUCAGUUGUUGUUGUGGUGUCAGACAGAGUUGUGGUUGCUGUUUCAGUUGGUGAAAUUGGUGCAAUAUUAGAGGAUGUUGGAGCGGUGGUUGCGAGAGCCAAAGUUGUUGUUGUAUCAGUUGUUGUUGUUGUGGUGUCAGACAGAGUUGUUGUUGAUGCAUCAGUUGUUGUUGAAACUGGCACUACAGUUGAGGAUGUUGUAGGAGUGAUUGUGGAAGCCAAAUUUGUUGUUGUAUCAAUUGUUGUUGUGGUGUCAGGCAUAGUUGUGGUUGCUGCAUCAGAUGUUGAUGAUACUGGCACUACAGUUGAGGAUGUUGUAGGAGUUGUUAUGGAAGCCAAAUUUGUUGUUGCAUCUAUCAUUGUUGUGGUAUCAGGAAUACUUGUGGUUGCUGCAUCAGAUGUUGCUGACGUUGGUUCAACCGUAGAGGAUGUUGCAAAGGUGGUUGUGGAAGCCAAAACUGUUGUUGCAUCAGUAGAUGUUGGGGUGUCAGGCAGAGUUGUGGUUGAUUCAUCAGUUGUUGACGUUGGUCCUACUGUCGAAGAUGUUGGAGGGGUGGUUGUGGAAGUCACAAUUGCAGCACCAGUAGUUGUUGUGGUGUCAGGCAGAGUUGUGGUUGAUGCAUCAGUGGUUGACAUUAGAUGGGUGGUUUUGGAAUACAAAGUUGUUGUUGCAUCAGUAGUUGUAGUGGUGUCAGACAGAGUUGUUUUUGAUUCAUCAGUUGUUGUUUUUGACACUGAUGCUAGAGUUGAGGGUGUUGGAGUGGUGGUUGUGGUUGCUAAAGUUGUUGUUGCAUCAGAUGUUUUUGUGGUGUCAGACAGAGUUGUGGUUGCUACAUCAGAUGUUGAUGCUGGUGCUAUAGUGGUCAAUGUCAGAGGUGUGGUUGUGGAAGCCAAAAUUGUUGUUGCAUCAGUUGUUGUUGUGGUGUCAGACAGAGUUGUUGUUGAUGCAUCAGUUGUUGUUGAAACUGGCACUACAGUUGAGGAUGUUGUAGGAGUGAUUGUGGAAGCCAAAUUUGUUGUUGCAUCUAUCAUUGUUGUGGUAUCAGGAAUACUUGUGGUUG